rnacentral:rRNA from 1 species
AUUGAACGCUGGCGGCAGGCCUAACACAUGCAAGUCGGGCGGAGCGGCGGACGGGUGAGUAAUGUAUGGGGAUCUGCCUGAUGGCGGGGGAUAACUACUGGAAACGGUAGCUAAUACCGCAUACGAUCAGAUGAACCCAUAUGGGAUUAGCUAGUAGGUGAGGUAACGGCUUACCAAGGAAACGCUCCCUAGCUGGUCUGAGAGGAUGAUCAGGCACACUGGAACGUAGACACGGUCCAGACUCCUACGGGAGGCAGUAGUGGGGAAUAGUGGACAAUGGGCGAAAGCCUGAUCCAGCAAUGCCGCGUGUGUGAAGAAGGUCUUCGGAUUGUAAAGCACUGUAAGUUGGGAGGCGUUACCAACAGAAUAAGCACCGGCUAACUUCGUGCCAGCAGCCGCGGUAAUAG